rnacentral:lncRNA from 1 species
GGUACCAUUUAACACCAGCCUGUGUUUAAUGCGUCUCUAUAGGGUACCAUUUAACACCAGCCUGUGUUUAAUGUGUCUCUUUACGGUACCAUUUAUCACUAGCCUGUGUUUAAAGCGUCUCUGUACGGUACGUACCAUUUCUCACCUAAUCCUCUGUGAACAAAUUCAUCUUUUCAAUAAGGUUAUCUCCGGUAAUUGUGUUCUUGUUCAACUCUAAAACUG